rfam:Parcubacteria bacterium GW2011_GWA2_47_21 TX94_C0014, whole genome shotgun sequence.
CGGGAUGUAGUAUAGUGGUAGUAUACACCCCUCGGGCGGGUGAGGUCCGAGUUCGAUUCUCGGCAUCCCGA